rnacentral:rRNA from 1 species
UACAGAGGAGCCAAGCGUUGUCCGGAUUGACUGGGCGUAAAGCGCACGCAGGCGGCACCGUGCGUGGGGUGUGAAAUCUGGCCGCUUAACGGCCAGGCGCCAUCCCAUACGGCGGAGCUGGAGUGAUGCAGAGGUCGAUGGAAUUGCCGGUGUAGUGGUGAAAUGCGUAGAGAUGUGGAGGAAUACCGAUGGCGAAGGCAGCCCCCUGGGAUAACACUGACGCUCAUGCACGAAAGCGUGGGGAGCAAACAGG